AUUGAACGCUGGCGGCAUGCCUUAUACAUGCAAGUCGAACGGCAGCGGGGGAGAAGCUUGCUUUUCCUGCCGGCGAGUGGCGAACGGGUGAGUAAUACAUCGGAACGUGCCCUGUAGUGGGGGAUAACUAGUCGAAAGAUUAGCUAAUACCGCAUACGACCUGAGGGUGAAAGUGGGGGACCGCAAGGCCUCAUGCUGUAGGAGCGGCCGAUGUCUGAUUAGCUAGUUGGUGGGGUAAAGGCCUACCAAGGCGACGAUCAGUAGCUGGUCUGAGAGGACGAUCAGCCACACUGGGACUGAGACACGGCCCAGACUCCUACGGGAGGCAGCAGUGGGGAAUUUUGGACAAUGGGCGAAAGCCUGAUCCAGCAAUGCCGCGUGUGUGAAGAAGGCCUUCGGGUUGUAAAGCACUUUUGUCCGGAAAGAAAUGGCUCUGGUUAAUACCUGGGGUCGAUGACGGUACCGGAAGAAUAAGGACCGGCUAACUACGUGCCAGCCGCCGCAGUAA
rnacentral:rRNA from 1 species